rnacentral:misc_RNA from 1 species
AACUUUCAGCAAUGGAUCUCUUGGCUCUCGCAUCGAUGAAGAACGCAGCGAAAUGCGAUACGUAAUGUGAAUUGCAGAAUUCAGUGAAUCAUCAAAUCUUUGAACGCACCUUGCGCCCCUUGGAAUUCCGAGGGGCACACCCGUUUGAGUGUCGUGAACAUCCUUCAACCUUUCUUGGUUUCUUAACCGGGGAAGGCUUGGACUUUGGGGGUCUUUCAUUGCUGGCCUCUUUGAAGCCAGCUCCUCCUAAAUGGAUUAGUGUGGUCUGCUUUGCCGAUCCUUGACGUGAUAAGAUGUUUCUACGUCUUGGGUUUCGCACUGUCGCUUUAGACCCCGCUUCUAACCGUCUUGCAUUCAAGACAGAGUUUUAAACCUUGACCUCAAAUCGGGUGAGACUACCCGCUGAACUUAAGCAUAUCAAUAAGCGGAGGCU